AGCCAACCUUGAAAUACCACCCUUUAAUGUUUGAUGUUCUAACGUUGGCCCCUGACCGGGGUUGCGGACAGUGUCUGGUGGGUAGUUUGACUGGGGCGGUCUCCUCCCAAAGCGUAACGGAGGAGCACGAAGGUUAGCUAAUCCUGGUCGGACAUCAGGAGGUUAGUGCAAUGGCAUAAGCUAGCUUGACUGCGAGCGUGACGGCGCGAGCAGGUGCGAAAGCAGGUCAUAGUGAUCCGGUGGUUCUGAAUGGAAGGGCCAUCGCUCAACGGAUAAAAGGUACUCCGGGGAUAACAGGCUGAUACCGCCCAAGAGUUCAUAUCGACGGCGGUGUUUGGCACCUCGAUGUCGGCUCAUCACAUCCUGGGGCUGAAGUAGGUCCCAAGGGUAUGGCUGUUCGCCAUUUAAAGUGGUACGCGAGCUGGGUUUAGAACGUCGUGAGACAGUUCGGUCCCUAUCUGCCGUGGGCGCUGGAGAAUUGAGGGGGGCUGCUCCUAGUACGAGAGGACCGGAGUGGACGCAUCACUGGUGUUCGGGUUGUCAUGCCAAUGGCACUGCCCGGUAGCUAAAUGCGGAAGAGAUAAGUGCUGAAAGCAUCUAAGCACGAAACUUGCCCCGAGAUGAGUUCUCCCUGAGACUUUAAGUCUCCUGAAGGAACGUUGAAGACGACGACGUUGAUAGGCCGGGUGUGUAAGCGCAGCGAUGCGUUGAGCUAACCGGUACUAAUGAACCGUGAGGCUUAACCUU
rnacentral:rRNA from 1 species